UUAGUCGGAAACGAUACAUCGUAGAAGGUUUCGGCCCUUCCUUAGGUGAUUAAACCCACCCCGGCUAU
rnacentral:tRNA from 1 species